UUGUAGACUGUAUUGUUGAUCUCCGCGAGUAUGAUGUUCCUUAUCAUGUUCGAUUUGCCAUUGAUAAUGAUGUACGAUGUGGGCAAUGGUAUGACGUUAGUGUAUCCAGUACUGGUCUUAUGCUGGAAAAGAGGACAGAUCUUUUGCAACGUGCUGAAGUGCAUGUUUGUGCAUUUGAUAUUGAGACUACAAAGCUUCCUUUGAAAUUUCCUGAUGCUGAAUACGAUUUAAUAAUGAUGAUUUCGUACAUGGUUGAUGGACAAGGGUACCUGAUUAUUAACAGAGAGCUUUCCUGAUAAGAAAAGAGUUGGGGGAGAUAACGUGGAUAGUUCCUUUGAAGCCUCAGACCGAAUAAAGAUGGAUAUGGGGCACUUAGAGGACCAUAUCAAAACCAAUAAGAAGCAAUCCCCUAAGGCUGAAGUUCAAAAUUCUUUAAAGCAAGAGAUUCUACAACUUGAGAAGAGAUUACAAGACCAAUUUGAGG